UACGGAGGGUCCAAGCGUUAUCCGGAAUCAUUGGGGUUAAAGGGUCCGUAGGCGGUUUUGUAAGUCAGUGGUGAAAGCCCAUCGCUCAACGGUGGAACGGCCAUUGAUACUGCAAGACUUGAAUUAUUAGGAAGUAACUAGAAUAUGUAAUGUAGCGGUGAAAUGCUUAGAGAUUACAUGGAAUACCAAUUGCGAAGGCAGGUUACUACUAAUGGAUUGACGCUGAUGGACGAAAGCGUGGGGAGCGAACAGG
rnacentral:rRNA from 1 species